rnacentral:rRNA from 1 species
UUAAAUUGAAGAGUUUGAUCAUGGCUCAGAUUGAACGCUGGCGGCAGGCCUAACACAUGCAAGUCGAACGGUAACAGGAAGCAGCUUGCUGCUUCGCUGACGAGUGGCGGACGGGUGAGUAAUGUCUGGGAAACUGCCUGAUGGAGGGGGAUAACUACUGGAAACGGUAGCUAAUACCGCAUAACGUCGCAAGACCAAAGAGGGGGAC